GACGAACGCUGGCGGCGUGCUUAACACAUGCAAGUCGAACGGAAAGGCCCUGCUUUUGUGGGGUGCUCGAGUGGCGAACUGGUGAGUAACACGUGAGUAACCUGCCCUUGACUUUGGGAUAACUUCAGGAAACUGGGGCUAAUACCGGAUAGGAGCUCCUGCUGCAUGGUGGGGGUUGGAACGUUUCGGCGGUUGGUGAUGGACUCGCGGCUUAUCAGCUUGUUGGUGGGGUAGUGGCUUACCAAGGCUUUGACGGGUAGCCGGCCUGAGAGGGUGACCGGCCACAUUGGGACUGAGAUACGGCCCAGACUCCUACGGGAGGCAGCAGUGGGGAAUAUUGCACAAUGGGCGGAAGCCUGAUGCAGCAACGCCGCGUGCGGGAUGACGGCCUUCGGGUUGUAAACCGCUUUCGCCUGUGACGAAGCGUGAGUGACGGUAAUGGGUAAAGAAGCACCGGCUAACUACGUG
rnacentral:rRNA from 1 species